ACACCUCAGGGCCCCCGGGGGAUGCCGCAGACGGGCUGCCCGGAGGGGGCGAUGGCGCCAGUCAGCCCACGGAGGAGAGGCGGCCUGGAGGGGCAGCCGAGGAGCAGCCUCAGCGCCUGCUGGUCCCCAGCAGCUCCACGGCCGAUUCCUGCCCCUCGGACAAGUCCGGGCCAGACGCAGCUCCCGUGGCCACAAGAGAGAAGAUCCGGUCCCGAUUCCACGGCAGCCACGACCUGAUCCACCGGCUGUUCGUCUGCAUUUCAGGGGUGGCCGACCAGCUGCAGACCAACUACGCCAGCGACCUGAGAAGUAUUCUCAAGACCCUUUUCCAGGUCAUGGCCACCAAGCCCGAAACAGACGACAAGGAGAAGUUGAAGAAGGUCACCCAGACCCUGCGCAGUGCAGCCUUGGAGGACUGCGCCCUGUGCCAGGAGACCCUGUCAUCCUCCGAACUCGCAACCAAGACCCGAGACGGGGGCUUGGAAGACCCGCCUGAGUGGGUCCCGGACGAGGCCUGUGGCUUCUGCACUGCGUGCAAAGCCCCCUUCACCGUCAUCCGCAGGAAGCAUCACUGCCGCAGCUGCGGGAAGAUCUUCUGCUCCCGCUGCUCCCCGCACUCGGCCCCGCUGCCCCGCUACGGGCAGGUGAAGCCGGUGCGAGUGUGCACGCACUGCUACAUGUUCCACGUCACGCCCUUCUACAGCGACAAGGCGGGCAUCUGACGCGGGGCGGGGCACAGCCACACCCGAGAGGGCCCCGGACUCCAGGAUGGAGGCGCCAAGGGCCCGUGCUCCUGCCUCCUCCAUCCAGGCCACAGGCUGCAGGGGGGUUUUCACUGCAUUUCAUCCAGCUGCUGCCACCACCGCUGCAGGGGCUGCAGGCCGCCCAGACUUCCAGAACGUCCAGUGCCUCCGCACCCACCCUACCCCCCCCCGCCUCCUACCACUCGUGGGGACCCCAGGCCAGCCUCAGGAGCCAAUAGGCGGUCAGCUUCAUCCAGGAAGGGUCCCUGAGGUGCCCAGUGGCUGCCUGGGCUGGAGUGGGCUCUCCUCCUGCCUGUGCACCUGCCCCACCCCCCGCCCUGUUUAGAUGCUGCUUCCGGGCUCAGCGGGAGCAAAGGGUCCGCUCUUGAAGGAGGAAGUGGGGCUGGUGUCUGAACUCCGGUGGACACCUGCAGGAGAGGGGCCAGCCCCCAGUGCCCGCAGGGCUUCCCCGAGGGCUUGCCAAACCAGAAAGACCAGGCUGUCCGUUCCCUCCAGGGCCCUGAGCCCACAGCCCCCCCGCCCCCUCUCCUCACCUCUGCCCUCUGGGACCGGUCUCCCUUCUUGUCAGGGAGGGAGAAGGCAGAAGCAGACCCUGUGGGGACCCUGCUCUUGUCUGCCUGCUCCAGCCCCCCAGCUGGUGCGGGGGCUCUGGCGGCGGGGAGAGGCUCCCAGCUUCUUAGGCCAGGGCCCUGCGGGGGCUGAGAGCCACCGGAUGGUGCCCACCUGGCUGCCACUUCCCCCUUCCUUCUCUCUGCACCCCCUGGGACCCCGGCCCACCUCCUCAGACCCUGGAGUGGCCCCGGGCCCCAGCACAGACACCUCCUCAGGCUUAAAUCUCAGGCUUCACAUUGCAAUGACGAUUGCAGUUUUAUUUUUAGAGAGGUGACACACCUACUGCUUCUUUUAUAGGACAAAAUCCAAUUACUAUUUAACAGUGGACUACACAUGCACAAAAACAGCUUCUGUGGGAGAAGAAAAGUAGAGAAUGGAGGGUAUAUUAUGUAUUGAGAUUAUUUUUAUUUUCUAAAUGCUAUAAUUCAAAACCAUUUCCAUAAAUCUAUUUAAG
rnacentral:lncRNA from 1 species